CAUGAGGAUACAGUAGAAGAUGUGACAUUCUGCCCAUCCAGUGCACAGGAGUUCUGUAGUGUAGGAGAUGAUUCUUGCCUUAUAUUAUGGGAUGCUCGAGUUGGCUCUAGUCCAGCUGUGAAGGUUGAAAAGGCACACAAUGCUGAUCUUCACUGUGUUGAUUGGAAUCCUCAUGAUGAUAACCUUAUUUUAACUGGGUCAGC
rnacentral:misc_RNA from 1 species